rnacentral:rRNA from 1 species
CGGCGGACGGGUGAGUAACGCGUGGGUAACCGUGCCUCAUACAGGGGAGUAACAGUUGGAAACGGCUGCUAAUACCGCAUAAGCGCACAGUACCGCAUGGUACGGUGUGAAAAACUACCGGUGGUAUGAGAUGGACCCGCGUCUGAUUAGGUAGUUGGUGGGGUAACGGCCUACCAAGCCGACGAUCAGUAGCCGACCUGAGAGGGUGACCGGCCACAUUGGGACUGAGACACGGCCCAA